rnacentral:rRNA from 2 species
AACGAACGCUGGCGGCAUGCCUAACACAUGCAAGUCGAACGAGACCCCUGACUUCGGUUGGCGGGUCUAGUGGCGCACGGGUGCGUAACGCGUGGGAAUCUGCCCUUGGGUUCGGAAUAACUCAGAGAAAUUUGAGCUAAUACCGGAUGAUGACGAAAGUCCAAAGAUUUAUCGCCCAGGGAUGAGCCCGCGUAAGAUUAGCUUGUUGGUGGGGUAAUGGCCUACCAAGGCGACGAUCUUUAGCUGGUCUGAGAGGAUGAUCAGCCACACUGGGACUGAGACACGGCCCAGACUCCUACGGGAGGCAGCAGUGGGGAAUAUUGGACAAUGGGCGCAAGCCUGAUCCAGCAAUGCCGCGUGAGUGAUGAAGGCCUUAGGGUUGUAAAGCUCUUUUACCAGGGAUGAUAAUGACAGUACCUGGAGAAUAAGCUCCGGCUAACUCCGUG